CAGAUGGUUUCUCCCAAAAAAAAGCCCUAGUUUUUUUAGCGGGAAACGGCGAGCGAGACCCCUAUGAAUUCAUCACAGAUUUCAUCGUGUCUCCUUCUUCCCUCGUCGAUUAACCGCCGUACCAACUGUUCUUCGAAUUAAUCGUUUUCAAGGAACAAGGACAUGGGAUGAGGCGAUGAAAUUUUCAACGGGAGAAGCUUUCAUUGGAUGCUCUGGAAAAACUAACCGAACUUUAAGGACCUGCAAGAAUUGCAAAUCCCAGUUCGACCCGUUGGUCAGUCCCCCCGAUCCUGUCGAUUCCACACCGCUCAUUUUGGUGGAAUGACGUUGGAAUGGAAGCUUGGGGGCAGCUCAAUAUACAUAUGGCAGUCUCUUGUCCUUGUCUACAUUGAAUUGAAUCCUCACUAGGGAUUACAGUUGCAGCUACUAAUUUUAUUGGCUGGAUUAAUUUGUGCUGACACUUCCCUUGGGAUGGCAUUGUUGGGUCUAUUUGGGAAGCAUGGAAACUCAAACGAAGUAUUUAAAUUGUUCCAAGAAAUGCAUUGUAUUAACUUAGAAUUGCUUAGUAUCUGCACUCAGUCAAUGCGGGUAUGCAGAAUAUUCAAUGAUUUUGUUUUGCGAAUUACUGAGAAUUUAUAAAUCAGAAUAUUCAUUUAUUGA